CUAGCAUCCCCCUCUCCUUUUAUUCUGCCUUUCUUUCUUUUAUAUUGUUUUUCAACUAACUCUUCUUCCUUGUUUUUUUUUCUUUACUUUUUUUAGAGAGAAUUGUUACAACCAUGGCCGGACUCGGAAUUAACCAGUCUCUGUCCCACGCCCCAAACCUCAUAAAGGUUGAGAAGAAGGCGGACCUCAAGGGUCGCCGCACGUGUUUAGGUUGCAAACAAACUCAAAUGCAUUUUUAUUGAAGCAUCCUCAUUCGGAUUCGUCCCGUCCAUUUUGACUUCA
rnacentral:lncRNA from 1 species